CCUACGGGUGGCAGCAGUGAGGAAUAUUGGUCAAUGGCCGGAAGGCUGAACCAGCCAUGCCGCGUGAAGGUCAGUGCCCUAUGGGCGUUAAACUUCUUUUGUGCGGGAGCAAUAAUGGUCACGUGUGGCCAGACGAGAGUACCGUACGAAUAAGCAUCGGCUAACUCCGUGCCAGCAGCCGCGGUAAUAAGGGGGAUGCAAGCGUUAUCCGGAUUUAUUGGGUGUAAAGGGCGUGUAGGCGGGACUGCAAGUCAGAUGUGAAAACCACGGGCUCAACCUGUGGCCUGCAUUUGAAACUGUAGUUCUUGAGUACUGGAGAGGCAGACGGAAUUCCUAGUGUAGCGGUGAAAUGCGUAGAUAUGAGGAGGAACACCGGUGGCGAAGGCGGUCUGCUGGACAGCAACUGACGCUGAGGCGCGAAAGCGUGGGGAGCAAACAGGAUUAGAUACCCGAGUAGUC
rnacentral:rRNA from 1 species